GGACAGAAAGACCCUAUGAAGCUUUACUGUAACUUGAAAUUGAAAUUGGACUUUAUUCGCGCAGUAUAGGUGGGAGGCGUUGAUUAUAAUCUUGUGGGAUUAUUGGAGCCAUCAGUGAGAUACCACUCUUGUAAUGUUAGAUUUCUAACUUUGAAUCAUGAUCUGGUCAAAGAACAGUUUCAGGCGGGCAGUUUGACUGGGGCGGUCGCCUCCUAAACGGUAACGGAGGCGUACAAAGGUUUCCUCUGAACGGGUAGAAAUCGUAUCUAGAGUGUAAAGGCAUAAGGAAGCUUGACUGUGAGACCUACAAGUCGAGCAGGGACGAAAGUCGGUCUUAGUGAUCUGACGGUACUGAGUGGAAAGGCCGUCACUCAACGGAUAAAAGUUA
rnacentral:rRNA from 1 species